rnacentral:rRNA from 1 species
AUUGAACGCUGGCGGCAGGCCUAACACAUGCAAGUCGAACGAGUGGCGGACGGGUGAGUACUGUCUGGGAAACUGCCUGAUGGAGGGGUAUAACUACUGGAAACGGUAGCUAAUACCGCAUACCAUCGGAUGUGCCCAGCUGGGAUUAGCUAGUAGGUGGGGUAAAGGCUCACCUAGGCGACGAUCCCUCGCUGGUCUGAGAGGAUGACCGGCCACACUGGAACUGCGACACGGCCCAGACUCCUACGGGAGGCAGCAGUGGGGAAUAUUGCACAAUGGGCGCAAGCCUGAUGCAGCCAUGCCGCGUGGAUGAAGAAGGCCUUCGGGUUGUAAAGUACUUUCAGCGGGGAGGCGUUACCCACAGAAGAAGCACCGGCUAACUCCGUGCCAGCAGCCGCGGUAAUAC